UUCUUGUAUAUAUUUGUGAUUCUGACUGCACUGACAUCAAUGUUGUUUUUGAACAGAGACUACUUGGGAGCGGCCAAGCAGUGUGCCUGGGACACCAAAGAGCCCUGUGACACAGAAGAACUCCUUGCCUACAGUGAAUGGGUAUCACAUACCAGGAACUUUGGUACCCCAACUAGAACCAAGCCACAUGAGUCUCCGCAAAGUCACCAGUGACCCCCAGAGUCCUGGGUCCCCCUCACCUACUCGAAAGCAGAACAAGGAGACCACGUUCACGGUAAGUAGAAUCCCACCGUGAUGAUCACCAGUCCAGUUGCUAUGGUGAUCUAGUCACCAGAGCAAGUAGCAUUGCAGGGCAGGAGAGCCGUCAGUCCGUCUGUGUAUGUGUUGGUGUGUUGAAUCCGUGUGAAAGGGUCUGCCUCAUGUUUUCCAGAUGUAAACACGGUGCCUGCUUUCCACAGCAG
rnacentral:lncRNA from 1 species